CGGCUGCGGGACACAGUGAGCCCAGCUCACGCACACUGACCCAGGUGCUUCCCCACCGCCCACCGCCCACCGCCCAUCGCCAUGCCGGAAGUCGAGAGAAAAUCCAAGAUCACCGCCUCCCGCAAGCUCAUGCUGAAGAGCCUGAUGCUGGCCAAGGCCAAGGAGUGCUGGGAGCAGGAGCAGGAGGAGCGCGAGGCC